rnacentral:rRNA from 1 species
UCCACGCCCUAAACGAUGAACACUAGUCGUCGCUCUGCUAGUCAGGGCGGUGAUGCACUUAACAGAUUAAGUGUUCCGCCUGGGGAGUACGGUCGCAAGAUUAAAACUCAAAGAAAUUGACGGGGGCCCGCACAAGCGGUGGAGCAUGUGGUUUAAUUCGAUGAUACGCGAAGAACCUUACCUGGGCUUGAACUGUACAUGACAGGUGUAGAGAUACACUCUUCUUCGGACAUGUAUAGAGGUGCUGCAUGGUUGUCGUCAGCUCGUGUCGUGAGAUGUUGGGUUAAGUCCCGCAACGAGCGCAACCCUUACUUCUUGUUGCUAUCAGGUAAUGCUGGGCACUCUAGAGGAACUGCCGGUG